CUGGCGGCGUGCUUAACACAUGCAAGUCGAACGGAAAGGCCCUGCUUUUGUGGGGUGCUCGAGUGGCGAACGGGUGAGUAACACGUGAGUAACCUGCCCUUGACUUUGGGAUAACUUCAGGAAACUGGGGCUAAUACCGGAUAGGAGCUCCUGCUGCAUGGUGGGGGUUGGAAAGUUUCGGCGGUUGGGGAUGGACUCGCGGCUUAUCAGCUUGUUGGUGGGGUAGUGGCUUACCAAGGCUUUGACGGGUAGCCGGCCUGAGAGGGUGACCGGCCACAUUGGGACUGAGAUACGGCCCAGACUCCUACGGGAGGCAGCAGUGGGGAAUAUUGCACAAUGGGCGGAAGCCUGAUGCAGCAACGCCGCGUGCGGGAUGACGGCCUUCGGGUUGUAAACCGCUUUCGCCUGUGACGAAGCGUGAGUGACGGUAAUGGGUAAAGAAGCACCGGCUAACUACGUGCCAGCAGCCGCGGUGAUACGUAGGGUGCGAGCGUUGUCCGGAUUUAUUGGGCGUAAAGGGCUCGUAGGUGGUUGAUCGCGUCGGAAGUGUAAUCUUGGGGCUUAACCCUGAGCGUGCUUUCGAUACGGGUUGACUUGAGGAAGGUAGGGGAGAAUGGAAUUCCUGGUGGAGCGGUGGAAUGCGCAGAUAUCAGGAGGAACACCAGUGGCGAAGGCGGUUCUCUGGGCCUUUCCUGACGCUGAGGAGCGAAAGCGUGGGGAGCGAACAGGCUUAGAUACCCUGGUAGUCCACGCUGUAAACGGUGGGUACUAGGUGUGGGGUCCAUUCCACGGGUUCCGUGCCGUAGCUAACGCUUUAAGUACCCCGCCUGGGGAGUACGGCCGCAAGGCUAAAACUCAAAGGAAUUGACGGGGCCCCGCACAAGCGGCGGAGCAUGCGGAUUAAUUCGAUGCAACGCGUAGAACCUUACCUGGGUUUGACAUGGAUCGGGAGUGCUCAGAGAUGGGUGUGCCUCUUUUGGGGUCGGUUCACAGGUGGUGCAUGGCUGUCGUCAGCUCGUGUCGUGAGAUGUUGGGUUAAGUCCCGCAACGAGCGCAACCCUUGUUCACUGUUGCCAGCACGUUAUGGUGGGGACUCAGUGGAGACCGCCGGGGUCAACUCGGAGGAAGGUGGGGAUGACGUCAAGUCAUCAUGCCCCUUAUGUCCAGGGCUUCACGCAUGCUACAAUGGCUGGUACAGAGAGUGGCGAGCCUGUGAGGGUGAGCGAAUCUCGGAAAGCCGGUCUCAGUUCGGAUUGGGGUCUGCAACUCGACCUCAUGAAGUCGGAGUCGCUAGUAAUCGCAGAUCAGCAACGCUGCGGUGAAUACGUUCCCGGGGCUUGUACACACCGCCCGUCAAGUCAUGAAAGUUGGUAACACCCGAAGCCGGUGGCCUAACCGUUGUGGGGGAGCCGUCGAAGGUGGGACUGGUGAUUAGGACUA
rnacentral:rRNA from 1 species